rnacentral:lncRNA from 1 species
CUCAAAUCCUGUGCUGCUGUGGCUCUGACGUAGGCCAGCAGCUACAGUUCCGAUUGGACCUCUAGCCUGGGAAUCUCCACGUGCUGCAGAGAUCAUCUCCUCCCUGCUAAAAAGACACUCACGAUGGCAUUUAGUGCAAAUUCAUCAUUUUCCAGUUAAGGAACCUGAGGCCUAGAAUGAUGAAAGAAUUGCCCAUGAUAACACAGCUGAGCGGGAAAGUCAAUGAAGGUUUGCAGACCUUUGUCUUCCAUUAUUUUAUUACAUAUAUUUCAGCUCCAUUUUUGCCUCCUUUGUGGUCUAUAAUAUACAACAGAGAUUCAUGCUCACAUAUUGGAAAACAUACAGAGGGUCAGUGCUGACCAAAUAAAAGAUUUGCUAGAGUAUAAAUGUUACUUCCUCUAUAUAAUGGUCCAGUGUCUCUAGACUCAUCUUGAUGGAAUUACCCUUUCCUUUCUGUGAGUCACAGCAGCAUUUUAGUCUUCUUAGUAAUACAGCAUAUGCCACAUUUGCAUUUUUUACUUCGUUGUUUAUUUCUCUCUGUACCUUCUAGACUGAGUUGCUCAAUACGCUCUAUGUGCCCCAGUACUCAGUGCUAGUAUAGCAUCUCAGAGAGAAGGAAAUGCUCAAUAAAUGUUUGUUAUAGUGAAUCAUUGUAGAUCCGUUUACAGUAUAGCAGGUGUAUUUCAAAAUAAGACCUUGUGGAAAGUUGACAGAGAAUAGCAACCUUAAAAUUACUGUUUACUGUAAAUAGAAGGGGAAAAACAAGAUAAUUUAGAGAGGAUACUAGGACUAAACAGUAUUUCCUGGCCCCUGUUUUACUUCUUUGAAGGAGAAAGUUAAAAUUGGAAACCACUGAAGUAUUAAUGGAGAAAAAUCUAAACUUAUGGAGACUACCAAACCAUAAAGGUUUAUGGUAAACAAUAAGGAUUAAAAGUCUCAUAGGAAUGAAUGGCAGCCAAGACUCAUAAGAUAAAUGGCUAUCUUAAUGUAAUAUCUAACUAACUGCUAAAACUUCUUUUAUUCUAAUUCCUGAAAAAAAAUUACUUUCAUGGUGUCUACUGUUUUAUUGAAAAAUCUUUUUUGCGUUAUGGGACAAAAUCCUGCUGUUUGUAGAGCAUUCAAUAUGCAAUGACUCAUAGGACCCAAGAUAGUGAAAAAAUAUUAAACUGUAGGAUUUCAUAGCUAUUUAAACUUUCAGUUGGGUCUAACUUUUUAGAAGCAUAGAAUGAUAAUAAAGCAGGGUUAAAAACGUCAGUAGAUUUGACCCUACUUAGAGGUUAGCAGUCUGAAUAAAACUGAGUACACAUCAUACCAAUACAUCAUUUCAAUUAAAAAAAAUUAAAUUUUUUACCUUUUUUGGGACUUUUUCAUAUACUAUUUAAAAUAAAUCAUUUUGCUGAAUGAAUUGUAUUCUAUCAUAUCAACACCUUAAAUAUCUUAUAAAAAUUUAGAGGAAUAUUAAGUUUUAGGCAAUCGAAUUCAUACAUUUCCCAGUUUGAUAGACUUCUUUCUUCCUUACUCUCACCAAGUCACCCCAAUUUCUUUCAAACAAAGUGAAUUUCUUUAAAAGAAUACAAUUCACAAGAAGUCCAACACAUGCAUUGAAAAUAUAUUUUCAACCUGAAAUAUCAAAAAGACUUAGGAAAGAAGGUCAUGUUUUCUUGCUGGUCAGUAAUCUAGUCAUUACCAGCCAGUGUUUUUAAUUCAUAACAUAUAAACACUCAAUUUCAUUUUCAUUUCCAGAGGAAACUAUUUGUUGAAAACAGUAAUAUCUUCAGGGAUCAGUGAAAGGAAGCAGAGACCAUGGCCGUUUGAACUUCAGUAAAAUGUUUCAGUAUAAACCAACAAAUUUUGAUAGACUAAUAUAGGCAGCUGUCAGGGUAUCUUAGCUCUUGGAACCCAGAAUCUUUUUCUGCUAGAUAAAUGUAUGCAUCAGCUUAUGCGUCUCACACCCAUGCCAAUGCCCUGCCUCUCUCAGGGCUUCUGUAUUUUUCCAGACUGAAAUCCCCCCAACUCUGAGUCUUCUCUUGGCCCUUUUCAGCCCAGUGUAUCUUUUUGAAGGCCAAGCUUAAUUUCAUGGGUGUUUGGUUUCUGAAAAUUCAUCCAGCUUGUCAACUGUGUGCAAAAUGUACGUGUUUCAAGAAAGCAUAUUUUUUAUAAGCUGGUAUUCAGAUUUUUUAAAAAUGAGUAAAGACUGAUGAAAAGUGAGAAGUAUAUUAUAUUUUAAUUCAAAAUGUCCUCAUUUUUCCCCCUGUGCUUCGUUAUAAUGAUUACAUGCAUUGUAUAAAUAACUGCUAUCAGAGUUGAUCUGAUAUUAUUGUAAAUGAUUACGAUUUUUUCUGCAAGUUGUAUGUUGCUUAAGAAUUUUAUCUUUGAGUCUUUUAGUUUGAGAAUGAAUCAAUAUGUCCUAGUAUUAAAAAGGAAAAAAAGGGGGGGGAACCCACCAAGUACAUUAUAUACCAUGUAAAUAUUCAGGGUGAUUUUUUUCUGUAGCUACUGUCAAUAUUAUGCUGUCUUGUAUAUCACUGAAUCCUAACAUGUCCUGAGCACAUCCUGAGUUAAAAUUUUCACCAAGAACCUGUCACUACUGUCAUUGUUAUCUUUGCUUCAAUGUCAGGAAAUAGGAUAUGUGGGAGUACUGCUCAUUUUAAUCUCACUGUGGAUUCAGUCUUGUUAGCUGAAAAGCAAAUAUUCAGGCAUCAAAAAUUAUAAUAUGAUUGACUCCUGAAAUAAAACACAGGGGCAUCUUUGAUGCAAGAGGUUAAAGGACUGGUGGUAAGUAGUAAUGUCAAGGUAGAGAGGGGAAGAGUAAGGGAAGAGGGAAGAAAAAGAAAUGAAGAAAGAACCAGCUUUUGCUGUCACAGCAGAGUCAGGAAGCAGAGGUUCUUGUCUUGGGUGGCCCUGAGUACAGAUUCUCUAGGGAAAAUUGGUAGAAUCUAGUAAUCAACUUGGUUACGGUCUCUGUAGUUUUUACCACUACCAAUUCUUCUGCCGCAUUCAGCAAUAAGGAUGAAGCUGGUUUAGGGACAUAAGGGUUGGGGAUUUUGGGAGACUAAAGAACAGUAUCUAAUCUACAAAAGGCCUGGAAUUGCCAAAGCAAUCCUGAGAAACAAAAACCAAGCAGGGGGCAUAACUCUCCCAGACUUCAAGAAAUAUUACAUAGCCCCAGUCAUCAAAACAAUGUGGUACUGGUAUCAAAACAGACAGACAGACCAAUGGAACAGAACAGAGAACCCUGACCCCUAUGAUCCAUUAGUCUUUGACAAGGGAGGGAAGAGCAU